CCUACGGGCGGCAGCAGUGAGGAAUAUUGGUCAAUGGACGAGAGUCUGAACCAGCCAAGUAGCGUGAAGGAUGACUGCCCUAUGGGUUGUAAACUUCUUUUAUAUGGGAAUAAAAUGUUCCACGUGUGGGAUUUUGUAUGUACCAUAUGAAUAAGGAUCGGCUAACUCCGUGCCAGCAGCCGCGGUAAUACGGAGGAUCCGAGCGUUAUCCGGUUUUAUUGGGUUUAAAGGGAGCGUAGGUGGAUUGUUAAGUCAGUUGUGAAAGUUUGCGGCUCAACCGUAAAAUUGCAGUUGAAACUGGCAGGCUUGAGUACAGUAGAGGUGGGCGGAAUUCGUGGUGUAGCGGUGAAAUGCUUAGAUAUCACGAAGAACUCCGAUUGCGAAGGCAGCUCACUGGACUGCAACUGACACUGAGGCUCGAAAGUGUGGGUAUCAAACAGGAUUAGAUACCCCGGUAGUC
rnacentral:rRNA from 1 species